GAUGAACGCUGGCGGCGUGCCUAAUACAUGCAAGUCGAGCGAACGGACGAGAAGCUUGCUUCUCUGAUGUUAGCGGCGGACGGGGGAGUAACACGUGGAUAACCUACCUAUAAGACUGGGAUAACUUCGGGAAACCGUAGCUAAUACCGGAUAAUAUUUUGAACCGCAUGGUUCAAAAGUGAAAGACGGUCUUGCUGUCACUUAUAGAUGGAUCCGCGCUGCAUUAGCUAGUUGGUAAGGUAACGGCUUACCAAGGCAACGAUGCAUAGCCGACCUGAGAGGGUGAUCGGCCACACUGGAACUGAGACACGGUCCAGACUCCUACGGGAGGCAGCAGUAGGGAAUCUUCCGCAAUGGGCGAAAGCCUGACGGAGCAACGCCGCGUGAGUGAUGAAGGUCUUCGGAUCGUAAAACUCUGUUAUUAGGGAAGAACAUAUGUGUAAGUAACUGUGCACGUCUUGACGGUACCUAAACAGAAAGCCACGGCUAACUACGUG
rnacentral:rRNA from 1 species